rnacentral:rRNA from 1 species
UAAGCGGAGGAAAAGAAACUAACAAGGAUUCCCUUAGUAACUGCGAGUGAAGUGGGAAAAGCUCAAAUUUGAAAUCUGACAGCUUCGCUGUCCGAAUUGUAAUCUAGAGAAGCAUUAUUUGUUCUAGACCAUGUACAAGUCUUCUGGAAUGAAGCGUCACAGAGGGUGAUAAUCCCGUAUCUGACAUGGACUACUAGUGCUUGGUGAUAUGCUCUCAAAGAGUCGAGUUGUUUGGGAAUGCAGCUCUAAAUGGGUGGUAAAUUCCAUCUAAAGCUAAAUAUUGGCGAGAGACCGAUAGCGAACAAGUACCGUGAGGGAAAGAUGAAAAGAACUUUGGAAAGAGAGUUAAACAGUACGUGAAAUUGUUGAAAGGGAAACGCUUGAAGUCAGUCGCAUUAAUUAGAGAUCAAUCUUGCUAAUUCAGCUUGAUGUAUUUUCUGAUUCAAUGGGUCAGCAUCAAUUUUGACUGGUGGAAAAAAAUUAAAAGAAUGUAGCAUUUUUCAGAUGUGUUAUAGCUUUUAAUUAUAUACACUUGUUGAGAUUGAGGAAUUCAGCAUGCCGCAAGGCUGGAUUACAAUCACAUUCAUGCUUAGGAUGCUGGCAAAAUGGCUUUAAUCGACCCGUCUUGAA